GCCCCUAUAGUUCAGCCUGGACAGAACACAGGUUUGCGGAACCUGUAACCUCGGUUCAAAUCCGAGUGGGGGCA
rnacentral:tRNA from 1 species